UAGGCAAGCUCAAAACAACCUCUAUUUCUCUACAAUGAAACCCUAGUGCUCUAAGAUCAUCUAACAGUAGUUUAAAAAAAUCUACCGCAUCGCAAAUCAAAGUCUCUUCGAGUACUUCACCUUCAAAGUCGGAAAAACGGCCCCCGUCCACACAGAUCAGCGAGUCAGCAGAAGACGCUUUCCGACCAAAAGUUGCCUUGGUCGAAAACACUACUAUCGGGUAUGUUCAUGAACUAUCCAAACUCAGUAGAAAUCGUGGAAAUACAAUGGAUUAUUGUUCGCUUCAACUCCAAACGGCUAAAAAGAACGUGGACGCACUGCUUUAUAGCCCUCACAAAUGACCUCUUCUUCACGAAAGUCAAGAGGAAAGAUCUCCAGUGAAACUCACCUACCACCUCAUUCACCUAUACACCAGCUAAGGACAAAAUUAUAGUGAAAGACAUGACCGCGAUAACCACUUAACAGGAUGAAUAUUCCUUUCAGUAUCAAACCCCAACGGAAGUAGAACCGCCAGUUUACAAAGUAUUAGAUGUUCUCAAUACUUCCAAAGAAUGGGAUGUCGUCACAGUUAAAGGCAAAUCUUUGCUUUCAAAGACCAGCGUAUGGUUGGAAGUCCUCGUAAAAGACUUAAACUUCUUGAAGCAGUAUUGGACGACGGAUCAGGGAGGAUUUCAAUAGACAUUUGGGAGUCUCACAUCAAUAAUGUCAAAACUGGCCAUGUUUAUACAUUGUCUUAUGUUCACAUCAGAGUCUGGAGUGAAAGAAAAAAACUAGCCACCACUAUGCAUACCACUAUCCAACUACUAGACGAUCAAGCCUUGCGAGAACUACUUACAGAUGAUAAUGAUGUCCUGUAAGAACAAACCCACAAGAUAACUGAGGUUACCUCCAACUAGAACAUUUCCAAAUAUUUAUAAUGUGUCCAUUUCAACAAAAGCAUCAUUCAGGCAACAUUCACAGAUAUAAUAAUCUGUGAACACUGUGGUUUUAUGAUGAAGAAAGAGGUCCUGCCAAACGAAA